rnacentral:rRNA from 1 species
AGAACAACAGGGAUUGCCCUAGUAACGGCGAGUGAAGCGGCAACAGCUCAAAUUUGAAAUCUGGCCUUUGGUCCGAGUUGUAAUUUGUAGAGGAUGCUUUUGGUGCGGUUCCUUCCGAGUUCCCUGGAACGGGACGCCUUAGAGGGUGAGAGCCCCGUACGGUUGGAUACCUAGCCUCUGUAAAGCUCCUUCGACGAGUCGAGUAGUUUGGGAAUGCUGCUCUAAAUGGGAGGUAAAUUUCUUCUAAAGCUAAAUACCGGCCAGAGACCGAUAGCGCACAAGUAGAGUGAUCGAAAGAUGAAAAGCACUUUGAAAAGAGGGUUAAAUAGCACGUGAAAUUGUUGAAAGGGAAGCGUUUAUGACCAGACUUUUUCUAGGCGGAUCAUCCGGUGUUCUCACCGGUGCACUUCGCCUAGUUUAGGCCAGCAUCGGUUUCCGUAGGGGGAUAAAAGCUUUAGGAAUGUGGCUCCUUCGGGAGUGUUAUAGCCUAUUGUAUAAUACCCUUCUGGGGACCGAGGUUCGCGCUCUGCAAGGAUGCUGGCGUAAUGGUCAUCAACGACCCG